UCCACCUGUUCCCAUCUCGAACACAGUAGUUAAGCUCAUAAACGCCGAAAGUACUUGGCUGGAGACGGCCUGGGAGGAUAGGAAGCCGCUGAUU
rnacentral:rRNA from 2 species